ensembl:lncRNA
CGGGCGGUGGGCUCGGCCCCGAGCCGCUGGAGCUCGGGGGACACCGCUCGUACACGGGUGUGGGUUUGGGCGCUGCUGUGUGGCGGCGGGGUUUGGGCUCGGCGGGCCUUCCGUCUGGGCCGCCCUGUGGUUCUGAGGUGAGCACGGAUGGGGCUUGCUGGGUGGGAGCUGCUUGCCGGCGCUCAGCUUGCAGGUGCUAGCGUCCCAAGGGCGCUAAAACCACCUACCCCAUCCUCUCCCUGUAGUUCCAACUCCAGUAGUUUGCUCUUCAAGUGAUGUUUUGUCGAGUCUGAGUGGCUCUCUCACAGGGGCCGUAAGGACCUGGCACCCCCCAGUGCAGAACAGCUGCCCGCUCCCUGUUUAGCUGCAUAGGAGUUUUUUCCCCUCUUACUCUAAUCUUCCUGCAGGGAGAACAAGUGCUUAGGUUUCCUUAUUUUGAUGUGUUUGAAUUUUACAAUUAACUUCUUCCACCCUGGAGAGGUACUGGGCAUUUUUCAAGGCUAACGUGCAGUUGUAUGAGGGAUUGCCUGAAACCAGAACGUUCAACUGAACCUGGCUUUUCUCGUCAAUUAGUACUUCCCAAUAUGAUAAUUUCACCAAAAGUAAACGUUCUGUGAGCUGAAUUUCUUUACCAGAUGGUUUUGCCCACUGCUCUGACGAGUAGAGGUUAAGGAUUUUUCCACGCAUCUUAUUGAAGAUAAAAUGUAAGGGAGCUUAUACUUCAACACGUGAGGUAAAAAUUCCCUCUGCCCAAGAGCGUAUUUCAGAAACCACAUCAACAUUAUUUAGGGGAAUUGACAGUGAUGUCCUGAUACCUCUCUGGGACGUGCUAGAAAGCUGGACAUGCUGGUUAUUUUUAUUGUGUUUUGGUUUCUAGUUCAAAUACUUAGGAAGGAUGGGAUAGAGCAAGCCAUUUUCACUUGACAACUAAUUCUUCAGUGCACUGUGCACUUCAAGGACCAGCAAGCCUUGUGGCCAGCAGUCCAGACUGCCAGCAUCAACCCUGCUGCCUGCAAUUGCAGCUGGGGCAGGAUGCUUUGGGCCAGUAAUGAAGAAAAAAUGAACAACCUGCAAGAAGGAAGGUUUUCUUUCCUAGCUGUGUGCAGGCAGACCCUAAAAAUAGAAGCAGAACUGUGGACCUGAUACGUGCAGCAGGUGAGGUCGUCAGGAGACAGAAUGACUCUUACUGAGCCCGUCUUGAAGACAGUCACUGCUGUAGAAGAGCACUGAAGCACAGUAGUUUGCGUAGCGCUGGAUUUCCAACUUUGCCUUCGUAUGGCAUAGAAAAACCCAGUUUUCUCGCAACGUAACUGCAGCGGCGUUCCACCUAUCUCCCAGUUCAGGCAAAUAAGAAUCCUCAGCGUUUUCAGGUGAAAGAAGUCCCUUCUCCUGUAAAGAGCCAGCGCCCUUGGGGUAAGGACAGACGGACCAAGCCAGCAAGGAAGUGAUGCCCGUUGGCUCCGCUUGACCUUGAGCAGCCAUCCACUGGAAAACAGCAUUUCUGCUGCCCCCUGCUGCAGGGGUCCUGUGUCCAGGGGAAGGGUUACCCUUCAGACACUGCAGGUCAGCCGGAGCAAGCCGUUCGAAGGAAUACGAUGGGGUGAAGAGGGUGCACGUCUGCAGUGUAAAACCGUCUUGAGUCCACCUGCAGCUUCUGAAACGGGUAGAUGUGAAUUCCCUCUUCUCACAGAAGGGAAGGGGCAGCUCGGAGCAGGUAGGGCUGUGUUCUUGAAGUCUCGGAGCUGCUCUGCCAAUAGUUAACUCUGACUUCCUGAUUUCCAUUUUGUUUUGGCAGCUCCCAGUCAUGUUCCUCUCUCUCUCUCUCUCUCUCUUUUUUCCUGGAAAAUUUCCCUUAAGGAACCACCGGUGAUGACCCAUGAGACAGUGUGUGAAUGCUUUGCAUUGUGCAGUGCUUUGACAUUUGGCAUUCCUAUGGCGUUAUCCCCCAUCAACGCAGAAUAAGUUGUCAGAGCAUGAAAUUGGUAUUUUUACAUAUUCUUAACGUACAGAU